GUUCCAUUUGCAUGGACCAUUAAUUGGCAAAGCCAAUCGAGGGUGCCAGGACCGGUCAAGGAACAAAGUCCCCAUUCCCUUUCGCCAGACAUAGAACCAGACGCAGGGAGCUAAUAAUGCAAGAGCAAACACUCACGCUCACCCACUCCGUUUCUCUCUCUCUCUCUCUUGUUUUAUGCUUUUUGUUUAUCCACUUGCCAGAGUACACCAACGCUUAUGAGCGUAACCAGACCAGCGUGCACGCACGCGCACACACACUCACUAAUUUUUAUAGUGAUCAUUGUGUGUGUGCUUAACUAUUCCGUAACCAGAUCAGACCGCGCACASACACACACUCACACGUAUAGUGAUCAUAGUGUGUGUGUGCUUGUAUUCCUUGCCAGACACCUUAUAGUCAGAGAGACUUUGAGUUAUAGAGAGAGAGAGCAAUACGAGAGCUUUGCUUUGGGGGUGUAAGUGCAGCACAUGUAGUGCCCCUUUGUCGGGAUGUCACUGC
rnacentral:rRNA from 1 species